rnacentral:rRNA from 1 species
GACGAACGCUGGCGGCGUGCUUAACACAUGCAAGUCGAACGGAAAGGCCCCUUUGGGGGUACUCGAGUGGCGUACGGGUGAGUAACACGUGCGUAACCUGCCCUUGACUUCGGGAUAACUUCAGGAAACUGGGGCUAAUACCGGAUAGGAAUCCUUGCUGCAUGGUGGGGGUUGGAAAGCUUCGUCGGUUUGGAUGGACUCGCGGCUGAUCAGCUUGUUGGUGGGGUAGUGGCUUACCAAGGCUUUGACGGGUAGCCGGCCUGAGAGGGCGACCGGCCACAUUGGGACUGAGAUUCGGCCCAGACUCCUACGGGAGGGAGCGGUGGGGGAUGUUGAAAAAUGGGCGGAAGCCUGAUGCAGCACCGCCGCGUGCGGGAUGAUGGCGUUGGGGUUGGAAUCCGCUUUCAGCAGGGGCGAAGCUGGUGGUGACGGUACCUGCAGAAGAAGCACCGGCUAACUACGUG